CAGUCGCCACGGGAAUACGUAGGGUGCAAGCGUUAAUCGGAAUUACUGGGCGUAAAGCGUGCGCGGGCGGUUUGUUAAGACAGAUGUGAAAUCCCCGGGCUCAACCUGGGAACCGCAUUUGUGACUGGCAAGCUAGAGUAUGGCAGAGGGGGGUGGAAUUCCGCGUGUAGCAGUGAAAUGCGUAGAGAUCGGGAGGAACAUCAGUGGCGAAGGCGGCCAUCUGGGACAACACUGACGCUGAGGCACGAAAGCGUGGGGAGCAAACAGGAUUAGAUACCCGCGUAGUCCCUGUCUCUUAUAC
rnacentral:rRNA from 1 species